rnacentral:rRNA from 1 species
AACGAACGCUGGCGGCGUGCCUAACACAUGCAAGUCGAGCGAGAAAGUCCGCAAGGAUGAGUACAGCGGCGCACGGGUGCGUAACACGUGGGUAAUCUGCCCUGAAGCCCGGAAUAACCUCCCGAAAGGGAAGCUAAUGCCGGAUAAGACCACGGGAGCCUCGGCUCCUGCGGGAAAAGGUGGCCUCUGCACGCAAGCUAUCACUUCAGGAUGAGCCCGCGGCCCAUCAGCUCGUUGGCGGGGUAACGGCCCACCAAGGCUACGACGGGUAGCUGGUCUGAGAGGACGAUCGGCCAAACUGGAACUGAGACACGGUCCAGACUCCUACGGGAGGCAGCAGUGGGGAAUCUUGCGCAAUGGGCGAAAGCCUGACGCAGCAACGCCGCGUGUGUGAUGAAGGUCUUCGGAUCGUAAAGCACUGUCGGGAGGAAAGAACAAGCCUGUGGCUAACAUCCACGGGCCUUGACGGUACCUCCAAAGGAAGCACCGGCUAACUCUGUGCCAGCCGCCGCGGUAACAC